UCAGAUUGAACGCUGGCGGCAGGCCUAACACAUGCAAGUCGAACGGUAACAGAAAGCAGCUUGCUGCUUUGCUGACGAGUGGCGGACGGGUGAGUAAUGUCUGGGAAACUGCCUGAUGGAGGGGGAUAACUACUGGAAACGGUAGCUAAUACCGCAUAACGUCGCAAGACCAAAGAGGGGGACCUUCGGGCCUCUUGCCAUCGGAUGUGCCCAGAUGGGAUUAGCUUGUUGGUGGGGUAACGGCUCACCAAGGCGACGAUCUCUAGCUGGUCUGAGAGGAUGACCAGCCACACUGGAACUGAGACACGGUCCAGACUCCUACGGGAGGCAGCAGUGGGGAAUAUUGCACAAUGGGCGCAAGCCUGAUGCAGCCAUGCCGCGUGUAUGAAGAAGGCCUUCGGGUUGUAAAGUACUUUCAGCGGGGAGGAAGGGAGUAAAGUUAAUACCUUUGCUCAUUGACGUUACCCGCAGAAGAAGCACCGGCUAACUCCGUGCCAGCAGCCGCGG
rnacentral:rRNA from 1 species